GGCGGCGCUUACGAGCUGGGAAGAAUGUGCAGUUAGUUUCGAAUUACGCGAACAGUGGAGCGCUGGCGAGAGGCGGGGUAUUUUCAGGCCUGAGCAACAACUUGGCGGUGGACGGCUAUCUUCAUCUGGGCCGAAAAUUAUAACGACAAGAAAUUGUAUACCUGGACACGGAUACAUAACAUGCAACCUGGACCUAUCGCUAAAUAUAACUAAGAUAUACUCCAAACUACAGAACGAGAGGCAUAAUGUGUUGCUAUGAAUGUUGACAGCAGCCUGCCACAGUUUGAAUGCUAUUAGACUGCUUAUGGACCAGGAAAUGAUACCAGAAUGGAAACAUGUAUUAUAAAAACAUCUAUUAGGCAAAAUACUGUAAUUUGUAAA